GCCACCCCGAGAGACGCAGGAACCCCGCCCUGGCUGGCGGUCGCUCGCUCGGGAGGCUGCUGGCCCGGCCCGGAACGGAACGGAACGGAAGAGUCCGAGCCAGGCCAGGCCUGAGAGAGAGCACAGCACGCGGAGCGACAGCCAGGGAGAAGAGCACAACACGGGCAAUUCUCCACCUUAGCUCAGGGAACAAUAGAGUUAGGAUUAAGACUUUCUUCUUCCUGGGCCAAGAAGAGUUUGCUUCAGCAGAGGUGGGAAGAGAGAAAUAAACAGCCCUUAAUACAAAGUCCAUGUCUUUGUGGGGUGAAAAUUAGCAGAGGCUACCGUGACACAGGCUGACUGAAAGAAGGGGAAGAGGUGAACAACAUGACUGCCACCCCCACCAUCUCCUGGGACCCCAGGAUCCACCAGAAGACCAUUGUGCCGCCUUUGUCGUGACCCUGAGAAAUGUUCUCACCAGCCUGGGGCAGAGAGUGGGACUCAGAUGACUUUGCCACUUCCACCGGCUCUGGCUGAAUCUUGAAUACCAUCAGGAUAUGAGACUUUGUUACCUGUUCUUUAGUGUCUUCUUUUCCUUCUUCACCUUGUUUCUGCUCUCUCUUACCCUUUUCUUUUUGCCAUCCGUCUAAUAAGAAUCUGGCUCGGUCAACCAUGACGGCAUAUUUUAUAACAUGGCAGUAAGCUUGUGACCAGAGAUGCAGAUAAAAGCAAUGCCCUUGACAGCCUGAUUAUGAUACUAGUUUGUCAGGUCUCAGGGUGGCUGAUAAGAUCAUGGGCUGGGUCUGUGUUUUUCCAGCAGUAAGGUUGCAAGUGAGAGUCAACAUCCGUGACAGAAGCUGCAUUUUUUCUCCUUUUGUGUGUUUUUCUUGUUUUAUUUUCUAGGAAAUGGAUUUGACUUUAACAACAAUAGCAGCUCCAGUUCACCUCAGCUCACUUCUUUUCUUUUCCCCAAAUUACCAUCUCUGAUACCGUCUAAAACAGUGGUUCUCAACCUGUGGUCCACCCCCAUUUGAAAUUUUUUAGGGAUUGAGCGGACUGCAAAAGAAAAAAAAGAUUGAUUUACCACUGAUUUAAAGGAUGGUCAAACAAGGUUUUUCUUUUCUUUCUAAAGAUCCUCUCCAGCUAAAGGGAAAGGGAACAAGGAAUGCGGUUAAAUGAAAGCCUCACUUAAUAUUUUACACUUUAACGCUUUUUCUGUGUCUUUAAUAAAAUGUUAAAACAAUGUUUAUUGAUGUUUGCCAGGGUACUAAGCAGGCUGAGGUCUCUGUAUAUCAAACCCCAAACCUUGUUUAACACUGUUUAAUGUUGGUCAGUGACAAGGUCAUAUUAGCACACUUGACUCUUCACGCCCAUUUAUUCCAGGCAAAUUAAUACAAGAGAGGUCUAUCUCCCCUAAAUAUCAGGCACUGGGCAGAGGUUGACAGCGUACCAGGAAAGAAAUUAAAGCUAGUAUGUGAUCUCUAGGCAUAGUGAAUAGGAAAAUCUAUCAUACUUUAUUUCCUCUAAAAGAUACCAUGAAUUUUACAAUAGUGCAGAAAAUUAUAUACAAUCAACGAGAUUCAUUCAUAUAUUGUAUUGGUCUAGUCCUCAAAUUGAAGACUUCUGUCCUGUGUUAUAAUUAUCUUUAUGGGAGACUUGUUUCAUCUUGUUGUCAGUUCUCAUGUGCUAGGUAUUUACAGAGUUUACUGAAAGCUUGAUUUUAAAUGUCACUGUUGUCUAGAAAAUAUUGGCUCAAAUACCUCCCUGCAGUAAUUCCAUUGACUUCAUCUGGGCCAGAAGCUAAAAUGGACAUUGUCGGUGAGUAAAGUCCCCAUCUCAUAGGUUAUCAAUUUUGUGUGGGUCCAGAGCAGCUGAGAAUCAAACAGGUCUUAUACGCAAGUGACAGCAGCUCCCUCUGGUCUUAAAAGAAUCCUCCCCACCAAAGUAUGCUGUUUAUUUCAAAUGAAAGUCAUGUUUCACAUAUUUUACGUAAUCUGCCUUGGUUGAGAACUGCACCUAGGAGCUGAUCCUGCAGUUAUUUCUCAUUGUUAUACCUGCCAGCUAGAGCUAUGCUGUGUCUCAGGUACUAGAGCAAAUUAAACCAAGUGUAGCUUUGUUCUUGCCACCCAGGUCACACUGUGGCUUGUGAACAGGUUCUCUCCAUAUUCCCAUACAAACAACACUAAGGAACCUGGAGAGUUUUGUUUUUAAAUACAUAAAUCCUACCAGACAAGCACUAAAGUUAGCAGCCUGCCAUCUUUGAAAGCUGUCUCAGCACCUCUUGGCCUCUCACUCUUCCCUGGUGCUUAUGGAGAAUACAGCUUUAAUCUAACCUAAAAAAAUUUGCUUCAGUCAGCCACAGUAGCAAUGGAUGCUACAUUUGUAGCACAUAUCAAUGCUCUAGAGGGUUGUCUGCAUAAGCACUCAUCUCAAAUGGAUUUUGCUAUGGAAUAACAGAGUAGAGAGUUGGAACACCUUGAUGAACUUUGAUAAUCUACAGUAAAGCUAAACCAGUGGUUCUCAAGCUUUUUUACUAGUGACCCCUUUCCCAUAGCAAGUCUCUGAGUGCAACCCCCCUUAUAAAUUAAAAACACUUUUAUAUAUUUAACACCAUUCUAAAUGCUGGAGGCAAAGCAGGGUUUGUGAUGGAGGUUGACAGCUUGUGACCCCCGAUGUAAUAACCUUGCGACCCUCUGAGGGGUCCCAACACCCAGUUUGAGAACCCCUGAGAUAAACAAAGUCCUUUCCUUCUGAGCCAAAAACUAGCCAUGGCAGAUACAAAGCCUCUUCCAGGGCAUUCCAUUCUUUAUUGGAAUGUUGAUAACAAAAAUUCUGAAUGCUGAUGUUACUGUUAGAUCAUACAUACUGUAUAGAGUUUAGUAAGAUUACCAAUUCUCAAUGCACAAAGAGCUGGAGCUUGCAUGCUUUGGGAUUUCAUAAUCUCUCAAUGUUUUCAGGAGCAUAGCCAUGGAAUGCCUCUUAAAUUGUUAAGAGGUAAGACCAGAAUGGGCUAUUUCCAGGAGGAAGUUGGACCAGCUCCCACUAUAGAAGAUCAGAUGGAGGGAACAGCCACCUGUCCAAUCUGCCCCCCAAAAAGAGACAAGCCUGAGAAGGCCUGGGCGUUGCUAUCCUUCCAUCUCAUCCCCAAGAUUAAAUACAGUAUGCAGUGUGGAGCAAGAGCCUCUAGUUUGGGGAGAGAAGAAACUGGGCUUUGUAAAAAAGAUCUCACAAGAUCUUGAUAGUACAGAUAAACUCCAGAUAAUUAACUAAGCAUCUGAGUGCUUAUCUGGACCUGAACUCCAACCCUUUUAAAUAUCUCCCAUCAUCAGUUCGUGUUGCAUUUGUGAAAAAAAAAAAUCCUAUCUGAAUCUACAUGCUAUGUAAUUUAUUUAGUAGGUGUUGGUACUGUAGUUAUUUUUACUUUUUUUUUUUAAUUUUACAUUACCUUUUAGUAACUUUGAAAUUGUACUGGCAAUAUUAAUUUUGCUUGUCAUUUACAAUAUAUAAAAUCAUAUUGUUUAAUGGACUGUACCUAAACAUUUCUUUUAUCUUAUCUGAUUUUUUAACAUAGUCCCACAGAAUAACAGAAGUUGUUUGCCUUUGUUUUAAGAGGCCCUGGAAAUGUUUCGUCUUGAAGUUCCGAGCAGUCUUGUAAUUUUUAAUCGUUUGCACUUCCGUACACACCUACCUUGUGCGUGGAGUGUGUGUGUGAGAGAUGGGUUAAUCCCCCCACUCCUGGGGUGCUACCUGAUGUGCUGGAGUCUCACUGACCCCGCCCUUUCCACCAGCCUGGGUUUCCUUGCUCUGUUUUUGCUGUGCUGGGCUCUCAAGCGUUCUCCAGCACAUACAUGCAGGUAAGGCCACACCUAGCUGCAGACACAGACUGAAAUCAGCUUUGUGUGGGAGGACUUAGCUAGGAGAAUGGCCAGCACUCACAUGCACACCUCCUUUGGGGUAUAAACCCAAAAUAACAUAGAAAGAUCUGCAGAGCGCAAGCUUAUAAAAAUUCACCCUCUCCCUUAACGUGGAGAGAGAUAUGAAAAGCUUUUUGCCCUC